UACGUAGGGUGCGAGCGUUAAUCGGAAUUACUGGGCGUAAAGCGUGCGCAGGCGGUUCGCUGUGUCCGAUGUGAAAGCCCCGGGCUUAACCUGGGAAUGGCAUUGGAAACUGGCGGGCUUGAGUGCGGCAGAGGGGGGUGGAAUUCCGCGUGUAGCAGUGAAAUGCGUAGAGAUGCGGAGGAACACCGAUGGCGAAGGCAGCCCCCUGGGUCGACACUGACGCUCAGGCACGAAAGCGUGGGGAGUAAACAGG
rnacentral:rRNA from 1 species